rnacentral:ncRNA from 1 species
AUACAAUCGACGAUGAAGAGAGUAGCGAUGAUGUUCACUCACAGCGAGCCGGGUUUGGUGCAAGCCGGCAGGAACAGAAUCGUGAAGCGGACUUCUAAGAUGCUGUUCUGAACAUUUGAGUACGAACAGCCGGCAAUCACACCGUUAUGUGAAAGUGAACGUUUCAUACGUUAACGAGAGUGGUACCGCGGGACCCCCGCCUCUUUU